CCGCGGCCGGUGCAGCCCGCGGAGGAACUUCGCAGUGCUUCAGGCGGCCGCCUCAGCGUUUCUCCGCGCACUUCCUGGUGCUAGCGCAGAUUUGCAUAGAGAGCGGAGGGGACAGCGCGGCCAAAGAGGAAAAAGCUUUCGCGGUCUGCUGCCCUGUUGAAAGGCGGAAAUGAGAUCUCAUAGAUCAGCAGAAGUCCGAAGAGGCGGUGUGGGCGUGUGGACGUAAAGCCUAGAUGAGGCAGCUGAAAAGCUCUGCAAUAACUGGAGUCAAGACGCGAGGUGCAUGCUGCCACACCACCUGAGGAAGUUUGGGGUGUGGAGAUUUUGAAGACAGAAUUUCAAAAGAAAAGUGUGGCAGCUUCCCACACAAAGCGCUGAGGACAGUGGGGCAAGUUUGAGGGACGGUCAAAGUGGUUCUGGAAGCAAAACGCAAAGUGCUCAAAGGGAACGAGGUUGUGUCUGUACCGUUUUCCAAGUCCUCCUGUAAAGUCUGACUGUGAGGUGGAGCCGACUGAGGAGCUGGCUAGGACUCCCAGCAGAGCGUCCAGAUAGCUGGGAAUGACUCAGUGCAGCUCACAUCCUAUGAGUUUAAGAGAAGAACCUGAAAAAUGUCCAGGAAAGCAAACGGUAGCAAUAGGAUUUACAUAUCUGGUAUGCAUGCAAAGGCUUGCCACACACAGUGGUGUGCAACAAUUGCUUCAUUGUAGUUUGUGCUGCAGUACUCUCUCUUAUCUGGGACUGGAGCAUAUAGGCCACUGCCUUAGUCCCACAGAAGACUUGGUCCCUAGAAGCGGUCAGAACAUAAUUUGUCACAUUUCUAAACCAGUCCCAGAUGUGUCUAGACAUCUGUAGAGCUGUGAAAAGUGGAAGGGAAAAGUUGCUUGUCUUCUUUGAACUGUAGCAUCAAUGGUGAUUCAGAUACUCAGUAUAAGACCAAACUCUAAAAAUAUUGUAGGAUGAGGUUGUUGGAGAUUCUUUCAGUUUUUUUAAAUGAAAAGUUGGUAAAGGUUUUCUCCCUUUCCCCAGUUUAUGUGAAGUUGUUUAAAAAGAAAAAAUGACUGGUUUUCCUGAUGAAAAAAAUGUAUAAAAAGGAAAUACCUGAUUUAGUUUA